rnacentral:rRNA from 1 species
GACGGGUGAGUAAUGCCUAGGAAAUUGCCCUGAUGUGGGGGAUAACCAUUGGAAACGAUGGCUAAUACCGCAUAAUGCCUUCGGGCCAAAGAGGGGGACCUUCGGGCCUCUCGCGUCAGGAUAUGCCUAGGUGGGAUUAGCUAGUUGGUGAGGUAAGGGCUCACCAAGGCGACGAUCCCUAGCUGGUCUGAGAGGAUGAUCAGCCACACUGGAACUGAGACACGGUCCAGACUCCUACGGGAGGCAGCAGUGGGGAAUAUUGCACAAUGGGCGCAAGCCUGAUGCAGCCAUGCCGCGUGUGUGAAGAAGGCCUUCGGGUUGUAAAGCACUUUCAGUCGUGAGGAAGGUGGUAGUGUUAAUAGCACUAUCAUUUGACGUUAGCGACAGAAGAAGCACCGGCUAACUCCGUGCCAGCAGCCGCGGUAAUACGGAGGGUGCGAGCGUUAAUCGGAAUUACUGGGCGUAAAGCGCAUGCAGGUGGUUUGUUAAGUCAGAUGUGA